GAUGAACGCUGGCGGCGUGCCUAAUACAUGCAAGUCGAGCGAACAGACGAGGAGCUUGCUCCUCUGACGUUAGCGGCGGACGGGUGAGUAACACGUGGAUAACCUACCUAUAAGACUGGAUAACUUCGGGAAACCGGAGCUAAUACCGGAUAAUAUAUUGAACCGCAUGGUUCAAUAGUGAAAGACGGUUUUGCUGUCACUUAUAGAUGGAUCCGCGCCGCAUUAGCUAGUUGGUAAGGUAACGGCUUACCAAGGCAACGAUGCGUAGCCGACCUGAGAGGGUGAUCGGCCACACUGGAACUGAGACACGGUCCAGACUCCUACGGGAGGCAGCAGUAGGGAAUCUUCCGCAAUGGGCGAAAGCCUGACGGAGCAACGCCGCGUGAGUGAUGAAGGUCUUCGGAUCGUAAAACUCUGUUAUUAGGGUAGAACAAAUGUGUAAGUAACUAUGCACGUCUUGACGGUACCUAAUCAGAAAGCCACGGCUAACUACGUG
rnacentral:rRNA from 1 species